UACGUAGGCAGCAAGCGUUGUUCGGAAUUACUGGGCGUAAAGAGUGUGUAGGCGGUGUUCUAAGUCUGUCGUGAAAUCUCCCGGCUUAACUGGGAGGGUGCGGCGGAAACUGGAGUGCUAGAGGGUGGGAGAGGAAAGCGGAAUUCCUGGUGUAGCGGUGAAAUGCGCAGAUAUCAGGAGGAACACCGGUGGCGAAGGCGGAUCUCUGGGCCACUACUGACGCUGAGAAGCGAAAGCGUGGGGAGCGAACAGG
rnacentral:rRNA from 1 species